UAUCCCAGCACAAAUCGAUGCAAGAAUGAUCCGCAAUAGGUACGGCGCACUCCUUUGGGACUAUGUUGCACGGAAGAUCGAUGAACAUGCUAUGAGCGACAUUGAGGCGCCACCAAAACCAGUUAGGCCAGCAGUGGAUUAUGGCAAAGCUGACACAAUUGAUGUUACUUAGGAUCGAUGUAGGAAUAUUUAAUUGUAAUUUCAGACUAUGGCUAUUUUUAUAGCAAAUAUUUUAGAUUUAGUUAGUUUAAGACUAUCUUAUCAUUUUCCUUAAGUUUUAAUUGGAACAUUUAAGCUUAGUCUAAUUAUCAAAGUUGUGUGAUUUUGUUUUUGGAAUUUUGUGUAUAUCUGGCUAUAUCUUGGAUGUGACACAGUGAGGUACACUCUAAAUACGUACACGUAUUUAGAUCUUGAAACAAGGGGGUUGUAUGUAUUUGAAUUCGCCAAACCCAGAAACGUCAAAAUAUUUCAAAUACAAUCGCAACUUAAUAAGA